rnacentral:lncRNA from 1 species
GUAGGACCUGGAGUACCUGGAGUCCCCAAGUACCUGGAGCACCUGGAGAAGUACCUGGAGUUCCUAAGCACCUGGAGCAGGAGUUUGAUGCUGAGAGUCUUUGAUGCUCAGGAAGCUUACAGGAGAAAAGCAGAAAGUGUCUUCCAGGCUAGCAUAAAGGCUCCGUGAGAGCAGGGACUCUGUCGUGCUGCUUGCUGCAUGCCAGCCUCUGGGCCACUCAGGGACUAUUCGUCGCACUCGUAUUGACCGGAUCCGCCGCUGGGCACUCUGCCGCAGCUGGAGCUUCACGUGGGCACCAUGGCAGGGAAGGGGACUCAGAGAGUUGUAGCCAGGCAGAGGGAGGAGCACAGGAUCUCCAGGAGCAGUAACCAUGUCUCCUUGUUAACACGAUGCCUGGCAGAUGCUUAGGGAGCAAUUGCAGAAUGAGAGCUGGGAGCAUGAAGGAUGGACGGCCGUGUUACUGGCUGGAGGAAGUGCCAAACGCAGCGGCAGACAGUGACAAUUCCCGAGAUGUAUUAACCACAGAUGUAAGGAGAAACAACAGGAAACAAGCUGAAGAAAUGGGCAGGAAUCACACCAUUGACUCCGUUCAUGGGGGCUCCUGAGCUCCAGGCACCGGGCCUGACACUGGACAUAGGUGGUCUCUAGACUGGAGGCCCUAGAGGGGAGUAACGUUAACUUCAUUUUACUACUGGGAUGUUCAAGUUCAAGGUGGUUGAAUUACCCGCCCAAGGUCACAGAGGUGGUACUUGGCAGAUGUAGGGUCUGAGCCUUUUCUCCAGACUGACCCUCAGGAGACACAAUUUAGGCAGUGCUGUCCACAGCUGGAGAUCGUGUGACGAGGGGCUGCCCUGUUAUUGAUGAUCACUGUUUGGCUUCUGGCCUCCUCUCACUGUUUCAUAGGUUAACUUUGCGCCUUUAUUCCUUCCCCACCGAUUCACCCGGCAAGAAAACCUGGCCUUCGCUCCAGAAACCAGCUUGGCUCCUGGCACGCGGUGCUGCAGCUGACCCACAAGACAUUGCUGCCUCUUGGGAGUGCUCAGCCUGCCGCUGGUUUUUUCAUAAGGUUGGCUGCCAAGGAGAUUUCAGAGGCCGCCCGUGACACUUCACAUGCAGGAAGCUCCUCUGUUCCCUAGAUUGGGGAUGGCUCUUCCCACGUUCUCUUCUCUCCCUGCGGUUGCACAAUCCCUAGUCAGGCGGUUACACAAGCAGGCCCCCUUGCCAACUGUCACCAAGGCCACUUGAAAAUCAAGACUUACGCAAACCAGCAAUGGCUUGCCAGAGGCGCAACACCCUCGUGUACUUAUUACCAUCUGCUCUGGAGCUGCGUUCAAGCCCUCUCCCUCCUAGCAGCCCUGAAUUUUUCUGAAGAAGGGAAAAUAACAACAAUGUGGAUUUUCUGUGAAUUUAAAACCAGUGAAGAUGCUGGGGAGGCAGCAUAAAUAGGCUGGAAACUCUGUUGUCACUGAAGGUCGUCUGUCCUCUUUUGUUCCUGGUUUCUUCCUAAUUUCAGUAUCACAUACUUACUCCCAUUUCCAUGUGCCAGUACUUCCACCAGCUGGCAGUAUGACCUGGAGUGAGUCAUUCAGCCUCCCUGGGCCCCUGCAUCCUCAUCUGCAAAAUGAGGGGAGGGUGGGAGACAAGCACCAGGAUCCCUCCAGCUCCCAGAUGACAAGUCCAUUCUCCUGAGGUUUGGCCUGGAGCUCCCUUUCCUCCCCUCUGUCCAGCAGAUCCUGGCACAGUCCUAGGCACAAAGCUGGCACCCAAAACAUGGCGUGUGGACACGUGGAAGGUAUUUCCUGACAGCUAGAGGGUCACACAGUUUGUUUGAGCUAAAGAACUGGCAGGAAAUUUUCACAGCUCACAGAACCACAUUUUCAAAGACAUGUUGUAAGGAGAGGAUGAAAGACAAUGGCAUGGAUGCUGCUGUUCCCUCCCCAGAUGGGAACGCUUCUUCCGUUUUUCAGCUUGGAACUUGCUGGCUUCUGCAGUUUUGGAUAUUCCAAAUGUCUGUAGUCACAGGCUCUCUCCUCCCGUCCGAAAAGGUUUGAAAACCCUACCACAGGACUGGACACAAAGACCCACCACGGCACCCACGGGCAGUGCGCCCUGCCUCUUCUGCACUCCAGGUGCAUAAUAAUUUUUAACUGUAAUUUUGCAACUGGAGUUAGUAGUCAAGAGUCAAAAGACUUUCAAUGAAUUCAAUAAGGAAAACAAAGUAAAUUCUAGAAAAAGGGAGGAAUGAAGAGCAAGAAAAACCCAAAAUGGCCAUUAUGAGAAAAAGGUUAUUUUUUAAAAAAGGAUUAACAGAAGGAGAUAAGGUUGUGGCUUUGGGGGAACAGUUGGUAGACAAAAAAAAAAGCUUGGCUAACAAAUAAUUUAAAUGAAAAUGGCU